AAGCUUGCCCUAGGUUGAAGGAGAAAGAGAAGAAGACCUUCUUCUUCUUCUUGGACUUCUCCUUCUACUUCUUCCUCUUUUCCUUCUUUUCUUUCUUCUCUUUCUUCUUCUUCUUUCCUUUCUUUCCUAGAGAGAGAGAGAAAGAGUGAGAGAGAGAGUUGGAGAGCAAUGAGGGAAAGAGAGGGAUCCCCCACCUCUAAUAAAGGCCAUUUUGCAGUUAGCCCCCUCAACUUUUCAUCCUUUGAAUCAGCCCUCUCUGGGCAUUUUCGCAGUGAGGGAUCGGUCCCAGCUCGGGAAGACCGGUCCCCGAAGGCUGCCACUUCGAGCAGAGGGGAUUUCGCGUUCGGGAACCGGUCCUUACCUGAGAGACCGGUCCCCGGGAGACCGGUCCUUGUCCGAGAGACCGGUUCCCGAGAGCUGCAUUCUCGGGACUUAGCCAAAUUUGGCUAAGUCUCGCCAGGCCAACGUUCGGGAACCGGUCCCUGCCCACCAGGGACCGGUCUCAUCAGAGACCUCCGCAACC
rnacentral:lncRNA from 1 species